GGCAAGUCUGGUGCCAGCAGCCGCGGUAAUUCCAGCUCCAAUAGUGUAUAUUAAAGUUGCUGCGGUUAAAAGCUCGUAGUUGGAUUUCGGAGUUGUUAUCUGAACCUUCUCGCCCUAAAAAGUGGGGGGCUAAGGUAGCAGUAGUUUUCAUCAUAGUCCACCAGGAUACUCUCUUGGUGUGUACUGGGUGUUAACCUCCUUUUUUCUGGUACUUGCUAUCCAGCAAUGGGUAGUUUUGUCCAGAUAGUUUACUUUGAAGAAAUUAGAGUGUUUAAAGCAGGCUUACGCUUGAAUACGCCAGCAUGGAAUAACAAGAUAGGACUUUGGUUCUAUUUUGUUGGUUUGAGGACCAAGGUAAUGAUUAAUAGGGCCAGUCGGGGCAUUAGUAUUCUAUAGUCAGAGGUGAAAUUCUUGGAUUUAUAGAAGACUAACUAAUGCGAAAGCAUUUGCCAAGGAUGUUUUCAUUAAUCAAGAACGAAAGUUA
rnacentral:rRNA from 1 species